CCUGAGAAACCCAAAAGAUCGAAUGGGGAGAUUCAUCGUCAGCGCAUUUGGUAUAUAUAUAAGUUAUGAUGCGGGUUACUCUCACGAGUAUUGCCUGUACAUUCUUUUAUAUUUAAUUGCUAAAUGUUGUCGGCGUGCACUUCUCCCCUAGUAGGACGUCGCGACCCGUUGGGUGUUGGUCUACGGCCCGAGUGGAAGCCUUUAAUGCUUUUACAAAAACAUUAAAGACCCUUGGUGUUUCCUGACCGACUGCUCGGCGGUAUUCGUACGGUAUUCAGCCGCAUUUAUUUGCGUCCACACCCGUCGCAAGCGGGGCCAGUUUCCGAUAGUGCGGACCUAGUGCCGUCGUUGGGCCUGGCCAGCUGUUGGCUGUUGCGGUGUUCUGGGACUGGCUGAAAAAAAAAUAAUUAAAUUACCGGUCGGCGACGCUACUGCUUUGGGUACUUUCAGGACCCGUCUUGAAACACGGACCAAGGAGUCUAACAUGUGCGCAAGUCAUUGGGAUUUUUUUUUAAAUUAAACCUAAAGGCGUAAUGAAAGUAAAGAUCGUCCUUGCGUCGGUCGAGGGAGGAUGGGCUGUGUUAAGAUACAGCUCCGCACUCCCGGGGCGUCUCAUUCUCAUUAUGAGAAGAGGCGCACCUAG
rnacentral:rRNA from 1 species